rnacentral:lncRNA from 1 species
GUCCCCUUUCCCCCCCAUACUAAACACACUAGCACUUCAUUUUAAACGUUAUAAUAUUUAAACCAAAAACUUAACACAUACUUAACUAAAAAUCCCUAUACUAAUGUCUCGUGGCGCGUCCGCCUAUUCCCGACUCUUCAACUUAAAUUAAUGGGUGGGAAUAAUCACAAAAAAAUAAUAAAUAUAAAUAAUAAAAUAAAUAUAUAUACAAAUACUACAUUUAUAUUACAUUAAUAUGGUCGGUAAAUAUAUGUGGGGUGGCUAAUUAAUUGAAUAUUAAUUAAUAUAGACAGAUAUUAUUUUUGUGUGUCUUUAUAUACGCAUGUAAAUAGGUAUGCGUUUAUGUAGGCGUAGAUUAAUUAUAUUAAUUGUCGGUGGCGCUGUGGCGGGUCGCGCCCGAGCAGGGGUGUGACCAGGAUUCCGCGGGCCGGGGAAUGGUAAUUUUGGCCCAUCUACGGGAAGCCAGCCGAUACAAUUUACGCCCUAUGGGUUUUAAAAAUAUUGAAUCUGGGAUUCAUUUUCCCUUUGGACUGGACUCACUUUUUAUUUCGAUUCGGGUAAAAGGGUCCUCUACGUUGGCCGGUCUGUUUUUUUUUUCCUUAACGGUCACACACACAAAACGCCCUAACACUGCCGAUGUGUAUUUUCCCACUGCCGGCAUGUUCAGCGUAGCUACUCUACGCAGUCCCCCUUGCUGCAGUUGAUCUCAUCUCUUCUACUGCCCUUGAACCAAAUUCAAGGGCAUCACAUGGCAUUCUUGAGGGUGAGCUGGCUCGUGGAUCCCGCAAUAUUCCCCUCUCUGACAUUCUCCCGCUCUCUCACCGGCACCGUUGAUCGCCUUGCCCCUUCGCCUAUCGACCUAUCAACCUCCAAAAAAAUACUACCAAAUCUAGUAUUUUGCAUAUCGCUCUCCUUCGAAUGCAACAUGUGGGAGAAGCAGACGAGGAAACACACACACACACACACAAUAUGCUUGCACUGCACACAGCACCCUACCCAGGGCUCUUCAUACCCUUCAUAACCCAUUGCCCGCAUUGCCCUUCUAUUCUACGAUGUUCUGGCGUUGUUGCUAUAGGGCUCAAAAGGCGAUGACGGCGGCGAUCUUACCGCUGGGAGCGGUGGCUCUCCCGUCAUCCCGACUCCAAUGCCGAUAUUUUUGGCUCCCUUUUUGUCUGCCGAAGACUUCGGCCUGCGUUUCCUGCGGGCGGGAACGCUCGACGUCGAGCUCGCGCCAACACUAGCUAGGCUAGCGUCGCUGGCAUCUGCCUCGGUGUCCAUGUCCAUGGUCCGAUAACCA